UGUUGGGUGGUGUAGUUGGUAACACCCCUUCCAUGAUGCGGAAGGUGCCGCAGGUUCGAAUCCUGCCCCGGCAA